ensembl:lncRNA
UAAAUAGUUACAUGAAUUUUACACAUGAGGAACUGUGACCCUGAGAGAUUGUGAAUUUUAAAAGUCUCCAUUUUGGUCUAGCACCCAAAAAAUUGUGCACACCCACACUACACGGGCAUGCGCUAGUCAAUGACAAAUCAGAAAUAACUAACUGCCCACCUGGGCUGUCCUAAGCCAAGCUAGAGCCAACCAUUGGAUUUGUGAGACACAGGAAGUGAGGUAGGGAACAGCCUCUGAGAUUCGCGGGACUUCCUGUGGGGAGAGCGAGAGGGGGUUGGUGUUAGGAGCUUGGAGAGGGAGGACGCCCGCAGACAGCUUUCCUUCAGAUGGGUCACGAAGGUCAGAUCUUUGAGAUUAUCCAGUUCAAUUGCUCUCCCAAAUUAUAAGAGAAGGAACCUGAGAUCUAAGGAGGGAAAAUGAUCAUCAAUGGCAAUUUCCAGUUCUAUAAAUAUUUCCCAGAAUUCCCUGGUGGACAGCCGAGAGCUUGUUGACUGCCCUGUGGUAUGUGAGCAAUUUGGAUCAAGUGUUAAAACCCAAGGCUGAGACAGACGGACGAACAGACAUCUGGCUCUUGCGAACAGUGCUAUUGACACAGCACAGUGACCCUGCUCCUUCUGCCAGGUCUUUCUUUCACACAAGGCCAUUUGUUUUCCUCUCAGUCCCCAUGGUGGUAUGGCUUUUUAUUGCAGAAUUAGCAGGCCAAGGUUACAGCUGUGUUGGCUUUCCAGGAGGAAUCAGCAGCCAAAUGAGGAAAAGUAAUCCUUGGAGUUGCAGCUGUCUCACAGUCAACUGAAGUGAGGAGCCCGAGAAGAAUAAGCAAGUGAGUGGGUGCAGAGAGGAGAAAAAUCAGAUUUGACUCUCUCGUGCCCCAAACACUCCCUACCUUUGCUUCCUUCCUCCAGCCUGGCAGCAAACACCAUCACUUAGUGAAGCAUCUGUCUUCUUCCAGGGAAAGGAAAACAUGUUUUCCCAGUAAAUAUUUAGAGAGUGUUUCCUGCUUGCAGAACCACUGAGGAUGGGUGUUUGUAUGUAGUUCUGUCUCCUGUGGUCAACGAGGCAACCCCCCCCCCCCAAUUUUUAAACUGAAUGGCUUAUGUGUGUGAAGGAAGCCCCAAAAGUUGACAGAUGCCUGGCCGGCUCCCAUAUUGGUGAUGCCAAUAGCUUAAGCCUGGGAAUCGUUGUGUUCCAAGGAGUGAUUCAGAAGCCACAGAAGAACCUCUCUAAUGUAUGAGUAUGAAAAAAAAAAUGAUGAACUUCCCUGAUGAGGCAGAUUAACUUUGUGUAAUUCAAAUCAACUACUAUUUCUUAAUUUAAUUCAGCUUAAUUUAAUAAGCAUUUAUUAAACAUUUAGUAAUGACUAGUGAGAACAUUCUUGUUGUGCAACCAUUUAUGCCAGAUUGCUAGUGACCUGGUAGACUAUAUCAUACCAAUUCUGUCCAUGGUGUGUCCUUGGCAUUGGUUUUGGAGUUGUCUUCCAUUUCCUGUUCCAGUGAAUUAAAGCAAAUGGAGGUUUAUGUGACUUGAAAAGGGUUACACAACUAAUAAAUGUCUGAAGUUGGAUCUGAACUCA